rnacentral:rRNA from 1 species
GACGAACGCUGGCGGCGUGCUUAACACAUGCAAGUCGAACGGAAAGGCCCUGCUUGCAGGGUGCUCGAGUGGCGAACGGGUGAGUAACACGUGGGUGAUCUGCCCCUUACUUUGGGAUAAGCCUGGGAAACUGGGUCUAAUACUGGAUAGGACCAUGCUGUAGGUGGUGUGGUGGAAAGAUUAGUUUCGGUAAGGGAUGAGCUCGCGGCCUAUCAGUUUGUUGGUGGGGUAAUGGCCUACCAAGGCGUCGACGGGUAGCCGGCCUGAGAGGGUGGACGGCCACAUUGGGACUGAGAUACGGCCCAGACUCCUACGGGAGGCAGCAGUGGGGAAUAUUGCACAAUGGGCGCAAGCCUGAUGCAGCGACGCCGCGUGGGGGAUGACGGCCUUCGGGUUGUAAACUCCUUUCAGCCAUGACGAAGCCCUUGUGGUGACGGUAGUGGUAGAAGAAGCACCGGCUAACUACGUG